rnacentral:rRNA from 1 species
CCCGUCUGCGGGCAACCGUGGGCGGGGGGCACAAACUAGGGGGUGGCGACUGUUUACUAAAAACACAGGUCUCUGCGAAGCCCAAAGGCGACGUAUAGGGACUGACGCCUGCCCGGUGCUGGAAGGUUAAAGGGAGGGGUGCAAGCUCCGAACUGAAGCCCCAGUAAACGGCGGCCGUAACUAUAACGGUCCUAAGGUAGCGAAAUUCCUUGUCGGGUAAGUUCCGACCUGCACCGAAUGGCGUAACGACUUCCCCGCUGUCUCCAACGCAGACUCAGCGAAAUUGAAUUCCCCGUGAAGAUGCGGGGUUCCCGCGGUCAGACGGAAAGACCCCGUGCACCUUUACUACAGCUUCACACUGGCAUCAGGCCAGGCAUGUGCAGGAUAGGUGGCAGGCUUUGAAACAGGGACGCCAGUUCCUGCGGAGCCGUCCUUGAGAUAUCACCCUUGCCUUGCCUGAUGUCUAACCGCGGACCGUCAUCCGGUUCCGGGACCCUGUGUGGCGGGUAGUUUGACUGGGGCGGUCGCCUCCCAAAAAGUAACGGAGGCGCGCGAUGGUGGGCUCAGGUUGGUCGGAAAUCAACCGUCGAGUG